rnacentral:piRNA from 1 species
UCAUUGACUCUGAUGGCAAGAGGUGGUU